UACGGGGGGGGCAAGCGUUGUUCGGAAUUACUGGGCGUAAAGGGCUCGUAGGCGGCCAACUAAGUCAGACGUGAAAUCCCUCAGCUUAACUGGGGAACUGCGUCUGAUACUGGAUGGCUUGAGUUCGGGAGAGGGAUGCGGAAUUCCAGGUGUAGCGGUGGAAUGCGUAGAUAUCUGGAGGAACACCAGUGGCGAAGGCGACUUCCUGGCCUGUUCUUGACGCUGAGGCGCGAAAGCUAGGGGAGCAAACGGG
rnacentral:rRNA from 1 species